rnacentral:tRNA from 1 species
CCGCCCUUAGCUCAGUUGGAUAGAGCAACGGCCUUCUAAGCCGUAGGUCACACGUUCGAAUCGUGUAGGGCGGACCA